GACAGAGGGUGCAAACGUUGUUCGGAAUUACUGGGCGUAAAGCGCGUGUAGGCUGCUCAGAAAGUCGGAUGUGAAAGCCCUGGGCUUAACCUAGGAAGUGCAUUCGAAACUUCUGAGCUGGAGUCCUGGAGAGGAAGGCGGAAUUCUCGGUGUAGAGGUGAAAUUCGUAGAUAUCGGGAGGAACACCGGUGGCGAAGGCGGCGACCUGGGUAGAUACUGACGCUGAGGUGCGAAAGCGCGGGGAGCAAACAGG
rnacentral:rRNA from 1 species